UUGUGAGAGCAGGUAUCUACUUGUAAUUUUUUUUACAAGAGGAAAGUCCGGACAUCACGAGAGAAGCAUAAAAGCUAACGGCUUUGGUUUUGGAAAUAAUUCAUAAAUCCAAAAUACCACUAGUGCCAUAGAGACUAUACUAGUAUAUCUAUGAUAUAUGAAAGGUGAAAAGUCAUUUAGUGUUUUCUUUUAUAACUGCAUUGUUUUUUUCAAUCACCCUCCCCAAGGACUUGGAAUAAUGUGUGAUAAAUUUAAGCGAUAAAUGAAAUUUGAUUUUCAAAUUUGGUAAACUUGUAUGUGAUGCAAUGGGAAUGGUAUUUUUAGAGAUUAUCUCUCUAUUGUCUCAAAAAAAUAUACCCAGCUUGAGCCUUGAAGUGAUUCAACGCCUAGAUAGAUUGAUACUAAAAUACAGAAUCCGGCUUAUUACUCUCACAAAUAU
rnacentral:RNase_P_RNA from 1 species